rnacentral:lncRNA from 1 species
GAUCAAUACAUCCUCCAAUAACUUCAUCUUAAAUUAAUUUUUAACUACAACAUAUAAUUAUCACCUUUAGGCAGAAAAUCACAUGUCACAAUUAAAAACAUUCCUCAAACUACAAAGAAAAUCUCAUCGAUCGAUAUAAGCAGUCCCACUUUGGUGGUGACGGUUUAUACCAAUGCACAAAAUUUUCUUGCAUAGGAAUCAUUUGCUCUUUUCAAAAUAGGAACAGUAAAAAUAUGCACUAUAUAAAUGCAUCUAGACUGAUCAUUCAUUAUUUUAAUUCGCAUUCCCAACAUUUUUUUUAAUGCGAAAAUUAGUAUUUUAGGGGAGAGAUCAUUACUAUUAAACAGUCAGCUAUCAUUACUGUGAAACAAUCAACUCAAUAUAAUAAAUACAUAAUUUAUGCAGCGGAAUAACAUGAGACUUCAUUUGAAAUAUUAUUGAGGAUAUAUAUAAAGCAAAUAGUCCCGAACUUUUAUAAAUAACAUAGGACUCCUCAAUAUAAGUCUCUAUAAACAUUUAUAAAUAGUUGACAUGUAAAACUCUCCCACUUGAUAGAGAAUUAUAGUUGAAUUACCAAUCCAACAAUGUUAAAAUAUUUAAACAAAUAUUCAACUAUUUUCUCUAUCACAUAAUGAACAUAUCAAACAAUGUCACACUAAAUUUAUAUUUUUCCAGAAUAGAACUCUAAAAAUAUUAAACUUGAAAUACUCCCACUCAAUAGAGUAAAAUUUUAAAAAUUGGAGUAUAUAACAUGAAAUCAAUUAAUCAGAGUUUCUAAUUUUAGAAUAUUCUGAAAAAUAAUAUCACUUUUAAAUACAAUUGCAUAUUUAUAAUUUCAAAAGGAGUCGAUAAUAUCUUAAAAGAAUUUCACCACUAACCUCCAAAAGUAUGACUUUCAUCCUUGCAAAUAGAGUCGACGAGCAUCGAUAACUUUACGAUAAGAUCUUUGACAAUGUCAUCUCAAACAGUUGAUAAUCAACAAUAAACCGUUAUAUCAUAAUAAAACGACUCUAAUAAUAAACAAUACAAGGAUAAUUCA